GUGCUCACUUCAGCAGCACACACACUAAAAUUGGAACCAUACAGAGAAGAUUAGCAUGGCCCCUGUGCAACGACGACACGGAAAUUCAUGAAGCGUUCCAUAUUUUU
ensembl:snRNA U6 U6 spliceosomal RNA